rnacentral:misc_RNA from 1 species
AAUUUCGAGUUAUUGUUCGUGGACUCCCAUCUUCUGCUUCCUGGCAAGAUUUGAAGGAUCAUAUGCGAAAAGCGGGUGAUGUGUGCUUUGCUGAAGUUUCUCGAGACGGUGAUGGGACUUUUGGUAUUGUUGAUUAUACUAAUUAUGAAGACAUGAAGUACUCCAUUCGGAAGCUGGAUGACAGUGAGUUUAAAAAUCCUUGGGCUAGAGCUUAUAUUCGGGUGAAGAGGUAUGAGCGUACUCCAUCAAGGAGCCGUAGUAGAAGCCGCAGCAGAAGCAGGAGUCCAAGAAGGAACCGAAGUAAAUCAUUGGAACGAUCGCCAUCAAGAUCAGUGUCAAAGUCUAGAUCAGCAUCACCUGUUAAAUCA